rnacentral:rRNA from 1 species
AGACCCGAAACCCGGUGAUCUAGCCAUGGGCAGGUUGAAGGUUGGGUAACACUAACUGGAGGACCGAACCGACUAAUGUUGAAAAAUUAGCGGAUGACCUGUGGCUGGGGGUGAAAGGCCAAUCAAACCGGGAGAUAGCUGGUUCUCCCCGAAAGCUAUUUAGGUAGCGCCUCGUGAAUUCAUCUCCGGGGGUAGAGCACUGUUUCGGCUAGGGGGCCAUCCCGGCUUACCAACCCGAUGCAAACUGCGAAUACCGGAGAAUGUUAUCACGGGAGACACACGGCGGGUGCUAACGUCCGUCGUGAAGAGGGAAACAACCCAGACCGCCAGCUAAGGUCCCAAAGUCAUGGUUAAGUGGGAAACGAUGUGGGAAGGCCCAGACAGCCAGGAUGUUGGCUUAGAAGCAGCCAUCAUUUAAAGAAAGCGUAAUAGCUCACUGGUCGAGUCGGCCUGCGCGGAAGAUGUAACGGGGCUAAACCAUGCACCGAAGCUGCGGCAGCGAACGUAUCACUUAAAGCGAUUCAGCGGGUUACGAUUGACGGAGCGAAGCGACGUCAAAGCGUAUACAAAGUCGAGUCGGUUUAAGGAUACGUUCGUUGGGUAGGGGAGCGUUCUGUAAGCCUGUGAAGGUGGCCUGUGAGGGUUGCUGGAGGUAUCAGAAGUGCGAAUGCUGACAUAAGUAACGAUAAAGCGGGUGAAAAGCCCGCUCGCCGGAAGACCAAGGGUUCCUGUCCAACGUUAAUCGGGGCAGGGUGAGUCGACCCCUAAGGCGAGGCCGAAAGGCGUAGUCGAUGGGAAACAGGUUAAUAUUCCUGUACUUGGUGUUACUGCGAAGGGGGGACGGAGAAGGCUAUGUUGGCCGGGCGACGGUUGUCCCGGUUUAAGCGUGUAGGCUGGUUUUCCAGGCAAAUCCGGAAAAUCAAGGCUGAGGCGUGAUGACGAGGCACUACGGUGCUGAAGCAACAAAUGCCCUGCUUCCAGGAAAAGCCUCUAAGCAUCAGGUAAC